GGUUAUUGAUUCCCAUCCUAUACCACAAGGGACAUAAAGGAACACAAGUCAUUUCCUGGAUUCUCACAUACCUCUGUUGACUAGUUUGUUUCCAUGGGGAACUGUGCAGCACUGCAUAAUCAAAGGCUUUGUGUCAUUUGAGGCAGGAGAUCCUCUCAGAGAUGUGAAGAAAUAUAAGAGACCAUUUUAGUUCAGAGAUGCACAAAGCAUACAGGCCUGGUAUGGAUGGCUCCUAGGGAGGCUUGAAGGAACAGGGUAUGUAGACUUAUCGUAACCCCUUAUAGAUGAGGAUGAGCCUCAGAGUUAUUCUGAAUAACGAGUCCUUGGAGGAAUCAUCGCUGGGACACAAGUAAGAGUCAGCAUCAGAAUCAGAGAGAAAACUUGCUACCACUGUGUCUGGCCAUCUACACAUGUGGUUACCUUCCAAAGUCCCAAUAUAAAAGGUUUUCACACUGUAAGUUAUAAAACUAACAUGACAAAACUGGAAUUUAAAACCUGAGCCAUAACUGCAAAGGCUUUUUGUUACAGGAUUCCAGUGACCAGACUCACAAUGAACGCUCUCUACGGAAGGACACUGACAAUGCUGUCCCUGAGAAGUUGAAGAAGCAGUGUCUCUCAGUCACCUGAUUGGAGCCGAGUAUCUCUCCAGAGAAUUAUGCUCCAACACCCAAAGCCACCACCAGGGUCACGAGGAUGAGACUGCACAAGAGUUCUUCUUCAAUUGAACAGACUCUUCUCACUGAUGGAAAACAGCAUUUGUCUAUAUGUGGUAUGUUCCAGGCGAUUACACCAUAUCUUUGUGUAAAACCAGUACAGACAGAAGAAAAGAAGAUGUGUGACCAGAGCCAAAAGACUGGCAAGUGAUCUUGUGAAGGAAUGACGACAUUAGCAUGGAGUAAAAGAGUCGCUGUGCUGUGAGGAAGAGGGGAAGAAAGGCAGUGCACAUGAGACUUCCUGCUUGCAUCUAGCCCAGGUCUUCAGAAAACCAGAGGGAAGGUGUAACAAUUCUGAUCUCCACAGAAAGAGACGCUGAUGGGGGAAAUAGAAUGGAUGGAUUCCUGGAGAAGAAAAGCAAUGAGAGCUCUCCCACCCUUGCAGCCAUCGGGAAAUGUGGUCAUCACCCAGGGCUUCUAAAGAAGCAAAUGUUUGAUUCUUGAUUCGAGGAACUCAUUUGCAGAUUGUUAAUUAAAUCCAUUUGGUGACUUUACUUUACAUCAGAAGGCAUCUAUGAUGAUCUUAUUAUUAUUAUUACAAAGGCUACAGUGAAGAAGUAGAGAGACUAAGUAUGCAGAUUGGGUGGACUAAAGAUGGAAGAAUCUGAUGAAAGAUAGCAAGCUAUUGUUCUUCAGCUACAGCAAAAUGCAACUGUAAAAUGACUUGGUUAAUAAUGAAAAUUACAGGGCAAUUUAAAACUAGGGAACACAAAAUUCUCAAGCAUUUGAAGGAUUCACCCCGCACUGCUUUCAGAUGACAAAUUAUGCUCCAUCUUCCCUUUUAGGCAUCCUGUCGAGCUCUUGGGAAUGAAAGGCAAACUGUCGUUCUUCCUGCUUCAACUUGAAGUCAAACACAGCAGAAUUCUAAGAUAUCCAAACUGUUAAUUUGAAUUCCAAGAUGUCCUCAGCCAUAACCCAACAGGCACAUGUGGCCUUGUCAUCAUAGGGGCUUUGAUUACUUGUAAUUGUUGUGAUGACUCUUCCUUUUUGGGGAGUGCUGUCUUUGUUCUUAGUCUUCUUGGUGAGGCUCUCACCAAGUCCUUUCAGGAACCACAGCUGUGCAAUAUGACUAAUUUAUCUCUCACCUUACUUUACACCCUUUGCUUUGAGCAUUUAUGUUAUAUCCACACCUAUUAGCAAACUGCAUAUCUUCCCAUGCCUACCCUGGUGUUAUACGCAUAUUUUUUUGUCACCCACUGUUAACUUGGUUUCACAAUUGACUUUGCAUCUGCCUAGCUCUUUAGUUUUCUUUUCUGGGACUCUUUGCCCUGUAUCACUUGUUGGUUGGCCUAGGGAAACUGUUGCUCUGCCAAAAGCCAUGCAAAAAAAAUGACAUUUCUCUUUGAAAUCACUUCUAGACAUACAAGACUAUAGAGGAAUGAUACAGAUAUGAAAAAUAGAGUUCGUUUCUGGAAAGUUAUCUUCUUAGUUGAAGGAGGCAGCAGCUUGUGCGGUGGCCAUUUCAAGCUGUUAAUUUUGUAUCCUUCUCAUUUGUUGUAAGAAAUAAAAACAGAUUUGUCAAACACAAA